rnacentral:rRNA from 1 species
CCUACGGGAGGCAGCAGUGAGGAAUAUUGGUCAAUGGCCGGAAGGCUGAACCAGCCAUGCCGCGUGAAGGUCAGUGCCCUAUGGGCGUUAAACUUCUUUUGUGCGGGAGCAAUAAUGGUCACGUGUGGCCAGACGAGAGUACCGUACGAAUAAGCAUCGGCUAACUCCGUGCCAGCAGCCGCGGUAAUACGGGGGAUGCAAGCGUUAUCCGGAUUUAUUGGGUUUAAAGGGUGCGUAGGCUGGGAGGUAAGUCAGCGGUGAAAUGCCCCCGCUCAACGGGGUGAAGUGCCAUUGAUACUGCCUGGCUGGAAGGCGGAUGCCGUGGGAGGAAUGUGUGGUGUAGCGGUGAAAUGCAUAGAUAUCACACAGAACACCGAUUGCGAAGGCAUCUCACGAAUCCGCGAUUGACGCUGAUGCACGAAAGCGUGGGUAUCAAACAGGAUUAGAUACCCGGGUAGUC